AUGAAAUGGUGUCAUGAAUUCAGGGCUGUCCCGAGGAACUUGCACGUUGAAAUGAAUAGUAAGAUUACACAAGCCCCUCCCUCUUUGCCUCUGGUGACCCGGACCAAGGGGAUGCCCACUGUGCUGCCCCAGACUCUUUCCAGCACGCAGGAGCUCUUCCUUGGAGUGGAACCCCUUGCCCGCUCAAGGAACCAGCCCUUCCUGGGGGCAAGAUGUCCGAAGACAGGCAGCUGUGUGUGGCUGGCUAUGAGAGGAAAAUGGUCUUACGUUCACUCCAGACCAGGAGCGUUUCUUGGAGUCAAGCACCCUACCAGCUGAGGAAGGAGUUGCUUAUCCGCCCUCCCUCGCAGUCCCUUUCUGUCUACAGAGGAAAGUACAGUGCAUGGCAAUGGCCUGUCUGCCAGCAGGCUUGUACACGCAAACAGGCUUCCUUUUCCUGCCCUGCUGGCCAGAGGGGAUGGGGGGGCGGAUGGGGGAUGGGGUAAAAUGCUGCUGAUAUGCCCCUCAGACUUUCCACUGGCAGCCUCCUAAACCAACUCAAAAGCGAACACAAACCUCUUGAAAAAAACAUCUGCUGAGUUAAUGUUUGCAGAAGCUGAAGAAAUGGGUUGGACAUCGUCCAGUUCUGUUUAGAGGGGAAGCUAGGACUUAAUCAAGGAACAAAGUUCAUCGAUGUGGGAGGAAAACCUGGGAAGCGUUCUGUUUUGGUAGCUGGGAAGCUGGUCUCCAGAAGCGGAGGGAAGACGCUGAAAGAGGAACUUGUAUUUUCCUCCAGCGAGCUCAGACCUGGCAAAGGGGGAGUGUGAUGCUGGCCUAAGCUCUGGGGCUUGGUGGUUAACAGUGCAAAAGUUAGUGCUCCCAAGUUGAGAAUGUUUUACGUAGUGAGGGUUCUUGGAAAAAAGACUUAGUGCAAAGCAGCAUACAGAAUGGUCCUGCCUGAGCUCUUCUUAAAUUGGGAAGUUACUGGUCACAGAGCUUAAUGAGGCAGUUCCUGUGGGAGCAGCUGCUUGUGAGCGGCAGACCAAUGCUAUCUUCCGCCCCCUGGAAGGGUGAUGGAGGCAGAAAGUGGAGAAGGUUAAGAUGAAAUCUGACUGAAGAAGCCUCAUUUUCAGAGGAGGGUGAGGCAAGUAGACCCUUUCCUGGCUGGUCACUUCCUGCAGAAAUGGAAAAGAAGCAUUUUUAAAUUUUUUAUCUUAUUUAGAUCUUCAGUUACAAAAGCCGGUCAUCAGGACGUCUUUCUCCAUCCCUUCCCUGCUCAACUUUAGAGGAUGGAGGGGUUUUUUUUUCCCCCUCCCUUCUCUCUCUUCUUGUGAUCUUGAGCAAAGUCUGAAGAAAUACAAAAAUUAAAAUAAAAAAAAAGUGUUCUCUCUUGCA
rnacentral:lncRNA from 13 species